UACGUAGGCGGAAAAUUAAGUCAGUAGUGAAAUCCUGCAGCUUAACUGUAGAACUGUUAUUGAUACUGGUUUUCUUGAAUAUAGUUGAGGUAGGCGGAAUGUGUAAUGUAGCGGUGAAAUGCUUAGAUAUUACACAGAACACCGAUUGCGAAGGCAGCUUACUAAGCUAUGAUUGACGCUGAGGCACGAAAGCGUGGGGGGCAAACAGGAUUAGAUACCCUGGUAGUCC
rnacentral:rRNA from 1 species